rnacentral:rRNA from 1 species
UCUUCCGCAAUGGACGAAAGUCUGACGGAGCAACGCCGCGUGAGUGGUGAAGGUUUUCGGACCGUAAAACACUGUUUUUAGGGAAGAACAAGUACCGUUCGAAUAGGGCGGCACCUUGACGGUACCCAACGAGAAAGCCACGGCUAACUACGUGCCAGCAGCCGCGGUAAUACGUAGGUGGCAAGCGUUGUCCGGAACUAUUGGGCGUAAAGCGCGCGCAGGCGGUUUCUUAAGUCUGAUGUGAAAGCCCCCGGCUCAACCGGGGAGGGUCAUUGGAAACUGGGGAACUUGAGUGCAGAAGAGGAGAGUGGAAUUCCACGUGUAGCGGUGAAAUGCGUAGAGAUGUGGAGGAACACCAGUGGCGAAGGCGACUAUCUGGUCUGUAACUGACGCUGAGGCGCGAAAGCGUGGGGAGCGAACAGG